UUGCAGAUGAUGAAAACUUGUUGUUUUCUCCAGAACAUGGUGAUGGUAGAAAAACGAGCUUUUUAAAUCUGAGCAAA